rnacentral:rRNA from 2 species
GGGUUGUGAGGUUAAGCGACUAAGCGUACACGGUGGAUGCCCUGGCAGUCAGAGGCGAUGAAGGACGUGCUAAUCUGCGAUAAGCGCCGGUAAGGUGAUAUGAACCGUUAUAACCGGCGAUUUCCGAAUGGGGAAACCCAGUGUGAUUCGUCACACUAUCGUUAACUGAAUACAUAGGUUAACGA